GUCAGGAUGGCCGAGUGGUCUAAGGCGCCAGACUCAAGUUCUGGUGUUCAUGAGAGGGCGUGGGUUCAAAUCCCACUUCUGACA
rnacentral:tRNA from 1 species